UACGUAGGGUGCGAGCGUUAAUCGGAAUUACUGGGCGUAAAGCGUGCGCAGGCGGUUUUGUAAGCCAGAUGUGAAAUCCCCGGGCUUAACCUGGGAAUGGCAUUUGGGACUGCAAGGCUUGGAGUGCGGCAGAGGAGACUGGAAUUCCUGGUGUAGCAGUGAAAUGCGUAGAUAUCAGGAGGAACACCGAUGGCGAAGGCAGGUCUCGUGGGCUGACACUGACG
rnacentral:rRNA from 1 species